CUGUCUCUCCCACAGGGGGAAAAGAAAAGAUUUUUAAUUAAAAAUGAAAACAUUGUCUCCACUGGGAUAGCCAAAGUAGUUGAUAAGAAUGGAUGGUAGUCACUGUUUGUGCCUGUCUUUCUUUCCAUUUCUCAUUUCUUCUUGAGCUAUUGUGGGGGUGGAGAAUGCACACACAAGAGGGGCUGGUGGUUAUUAACCCUUCCCAUUCUGAGCUGACUGUUGGAAUAGCCUAAGACUGAAGCUGGAUGAAGUAAGUCUCAACUUCCCUUCUUACCAGUUUGAGGUAGGCCAGGGUGGGAAAUACUGUCAGUUGGAGUUUUGUCCACUCAGACCAGAUCAGUGCAGUUUCAGUGUGGAGCUGUUGCAGAGUUCUAUGAGUGGAGUUCCUGUGAAUGGGACUUAGGUCUAAUCUGGCCUUAGGGACUUUAUUGGGUGGUACUGCUCCUGAGAGAUUAGAUCAAUGCAACCCAAGGACUGGUAGUUGCCAAUCUCUGUCAGGAGUCUGCAUCUCAGGAGCCUCUCAAGAAUUCUACUUGUGGCACAGAGGAGUCAAUCCUUCACACACAUUGCUGCCCAGUUGCUGUCCAGGAACACAGGCUUACUUGGCUCAGUCCCUGAGUAUUUUCAUACCUGCAUGGUCAGAUUCCAGAUCCACUUCAGCUGGUUAUAUGAGUCACUAGGCUCAAAGCAGAAGAAGACUGGGCUUCCCUGCACUUUUCUGACUUGAAUCCUCCCCCUGGGUAUAAUCUUCUCUGUGGCUGUUUUACUCCCAUUUUGCUAGGUACACCCUAGGCUGCACAGUAGGAGCUUGCUAGGACCUUGUGGCAUUGUUUACUCUAAUAUGCUGGCUCCCCAGCACCAAGUGAAGUGUGACCACCUCAAGAUGGCUCCCAUCCUGAGGCCAGGGAACAGAGAGCACUUUUCAAACACCAGUGCACAGUGCAGCCUCUGGAUCAGCAUGUUUCAGGUUGGGUUCAUGAUCUCAAAUUUUUCUAUACCAAACUUGUGUUUCUUUCUGUGAUUUCCCUCCUCUGUGGCAAAUCAGUACCA
rnacentral:lncRNA from 1 species